rnacentral:lncRNA from 1 species
UUUUUUUUUUUUUUUGGCCUCUGACCUUCUAGUUGACACAAAAUUAGUUACCUGUAGACUUAGGCAAAUGUGAUACCGCUCGUAGGCACGUGACCCUAACCCGUAUAAGCACUAAGAAAAUUGUAACACUUUGAGUUGGUCUGGUGGAAUUAUCUCUGACCUUCUCCCUGUAGCUGGUUACAGCAAUAAAUUCCCUUUUUUCCUAGUUUGUCUGCUUCUCAUUACUGGGCCAUGAGAAAACUCAGCCGGACUCAGUUUGGUUCCUGGAACAAGUCCACAGGGAACAACCUUUUUUGCUGAAAGUGAACUGUGGGCCCAGCUGUGUCUUGCUGCUGAGAACAUCGUGGGGACUGGUCUAGCCCUCUCAGCACCCUGGCCCGGUUCAGUCUCCUCUUCUGGGCAAAGAUGCCUUCAGCAUCUCAGGAGAGAUACAUUCCAUUGGCUAUUCAUUCCUGUGGAGUGGGUUCUCCUUCCUGACAGCUUCACCAAAAGUCUGGGAGUGGUGCCAGUUGCCACAGAUGGGCUACAGGCUCAUCCCUGAGUCAGCCACCAUGCAGAGUGAAGGGAGUUCAUGGUGGACACAGCCCUGAGCCGGGGGGUGGGGUCAGCCCUCGGGACCCAGGCACUGGGAAUGCCAGGCGGGGAAGAACACUUCUUAACUUCUAGUGGGAAGUGUAAAGUGGACAACCCUUUUGUGGACAAUUCAACUUCUUUCUUAAAUCGACCCCCUCGCACUGCUAAUAUAUACUCUCUUUUUUUCUUUGCUUAAGAAGAUGUAGUCCAAGCACUGCUGGGCAAAUACUUUGUUUCUUUGAUCUUCACAAGAAAAUUUCCUUUUGCACACACAAAAUAUAAAACCAAUAGUUCUUUUAUUCAUAUUUUUAGAAGUCGUUUUCUUAUUUUUAUUUUUUCAGGAGUGAAUUUCAAAAUGUUGAAAAGUCAUGUUCUCGUAUUUGGUUGUGAGCUCUUUAAAUAUAGUAAUUUAUGGAGGAGGAGGUCUAGUUGGGUGUUAGUCAAUAUUAUUUCAAAAUUAAUACAAAAUUAUUUAUUAAACAUUCCUGCACUAUGUGGGACACAAUAAUCGCAUCUAAGUGCAGCCGCCACUACCCUCCACUGGGCAGAACUCCUGGGCCUAAGGCUGUCUCUGUCAACUCCUGUUUCCUGGGGGCCCCGCCCUCAGGGGUUUUCCAGUAGAUGUGAAUGUUAUUUGCUCUAUUGUUAUAUCUAUUUUAUUAAAAGCAAAACUUCCUCAGUUUCCUACUAGCUUGCUUUUAGAAAAAGUUUCCAAAAUGUAUACCACAUUCCACUUAAGAGUUUUUUUCUGAGUUAGGAAAGGAAGCCCCCCUUCCGCUUGGUUCAGAAUUAGAGAGACACUCCCCUGUCCCACCUCACUGAAAUUCAUUUGUUUAUCUCAUUAUUUCAGCUGCAGUUUUCUAGAGAUAUGCAAACCACCAGAGUAAAAAUUAAGUGAGACUGUCCCCCAGCAAUUAAGGGGAGCAAGGUGGGGGAAGGGCAAGUGCAUUCAUGAGGGGA